rnacentral:rRNA from 1 species
UACACACGUGUUACAAUGGGGGGUACAGAGGGCCGCUACCACGCGAGUGGAUGCCAAUCCCUAAAACCCCUCUCAGUUCGGACUGGAGUCUGCAACCCGACUCCACGAAGCUGGAUUCGCUAGUAAUCGCGCAUCAGCCACGGCGCGGUGAAUACGUUCCCGGGCCUUGUACACACCGCCCGUCAAGCCAUGGGAGCCGGGGGUACCUGAAGUGCGUAACCGCGAGGAUCGCCCUAGGGUAAAACUGGUGACUGGGGCUAAGUCGUAACAAGGUAGC